rnacentral:rRNA from 1 species
AGUCGAGGGGCAGCAUUUCAGUUUGCUUGCAAACUGGAGAUGGCGACCGGCGCACGGGUGAGUAACACGUAUCCAACCUGCCGAUAACUCGGGGAUAGCCUUUCGAAAGAAAGAUUAAUACCCGAUGGUAUAAUCAGACCGCAUGGUCUUAUUAUUAAAGAAUUUCGGUUAUCGAUGGGGAUGCGUUCCAUUAGGCAGUUGGUGAGGUAACGGCUCACCAAACCUUCGAUGGAUAGGGGUUCUGAGAGGAAGGUCCCCCACAUUGGAACUGAGACACGGUCCAAACUCCUACGGGAGGCAGCAGUGAGGAAUAUUGGUCAAUGGGCGCAGGCCUGAACCAGCCAAGUAGCGUGAAGGAUGACUGCCCUAUGGGUUGUAAACUUCUUUUAUAUGGGAAUAAAGUUUUCCACGUGUGGAAUUUUGUAUGUACCAUAUGAAUAAGGAUCGGCUAACUCCGUGCCAGCAGCCGCGGUAAUACGGAGGAUCCGAGCGUUAUCCGGAUUUAUUGGGUUUAAAGGGAGCGUAGGUGGACAGUUAAGUCAGUUGUGAAAGUUUGCGGCUCAACCGUAAAAUUGCAGUUGAUACUGGCUGUCUUGAGUACAGUAGAGGUGGGCGGAAUUCGUGGUGUAGCGGUGAAAUGCUUAGAUAUCACGAAGAACUCCGAUUGCGAAGGCAGCUCACUGGACUGCAACUGACACUGAUGCUCGAAAGUGUGGGUAUCAAACAGGAUUAGAUACCCUGGUAGUCCACACAGUAAACGAUGAAUACUCGCUGUUUGCGAUAUACAGUAAGCGGCCAAGCGAAAGCAUUAAGUAUUCCACCUGGGGAGUACGCCGGCAACGGUGAAACUCAAAGGAAUUGACGGGGGCCCGCACAAGCGGAGGAACAUGUGGUUUAAUUCGAUGAUACGCGAGGAACCUUACCCGGGCUUAAAUUGCAUUUGAAUANUNUGGAAACAGNNUAGCCGCAAGGCAAAUGUGAAGGUGCUGCAUGGUUGUCGUCAGCUCGUGCCGUGAGGUGUCGGCUUAAGUGCCAUAACGAGCGCAACCCUUAUCUUUAGUUACUAACAGGUCAUGCUGAGGACUCUAGAGAGACUGCCGUCGUAAGAUGUGAGGAAGGUGGGGAUGACGUCAAAUCAGCACGGCCCUUACGUCCGGGGCUACACACGUGUUACAAUGGGGGGUACAGAAGGCAGCUACCUGGUGACAGGAUGCUAAUCCCAAAAGCCUCUCUCAGUUCGGAUCGAAGUCUGCAACCCGACUUCGUGAAGCUGGAUUCGCUAGUAAUCGCGCAUCAGCCAUGGCGCGGUGAAUACGUUCCCGGGCCUUGUACACACCGCCCGUCAAGCCAUGAAAGCCGGGGGUACCUGAAGUACGUAACCGCAAGGAGCUCCUAGG